CACACACACAAUGCUGUGAUAAUAACACUGUAUCCGCCUGGGUUAACAACCACACAAGUUUAUUGUGAUCCAGCUUGGAAAUCCUGUAUCUUUCGGGCUUUGUUUUUCUCCUGCAAACUGAUGGCCCUAACAUCAGAGACGAUGACAGAGAUAUGUCUAGACCUGGACUGCUUCGACGAGGAGAGGAAACUGUACUCGGCAGAAUCACUGAACGACCUCCACAAGAUGAACGUGUGCUCCGACCCCAAGGACCUGCUGAAACUCACAGAACAGCCAAUGAGCUCUCAGACCACACCCACUGCUGGAGAAAGAAGAGGGAAGAAUGCCAACAGCAAUGACCAGUGUGGUGAUACUGAUGGUAUGGUUAGUUUACAAAGCAAGUUAGGAUAACAAACGUUGCUGGUUAGGAUC